CGGGAAUUUUGGGCAAUGGGCGAAAGCCUGACCCAGCGACGCCGCGUGAGGGAUGAAGUAUUUCGGUAUGUAAACCUCGAAAGAAUGGGAAGAAUAAAUGACGGUACCAUUUAUAAGCUCCGGCUAACUACGUGCCAGCAGCCGCGGUAAAACGUAGGUGGCAAGCGUUAUCCGGAUUCACUGGGCGUAAAGCGCGUGCAGGUGGCUUCGUAAGUUGGACGUUAAAUCUUUCGGCCUAACCGGGAGGUAUCGUUCAAUACUGCGGGGCUUGAGGGUAGAAGAGGGGGGUGGAAUUGCCGGUGUAGUUGUGAAAUGCGUAGAUAUCGGCAGGAACACCUGUGGCGAAAGCGGCCCCCUGGUCUGCUCCUGACACUCAGACGCGAAAGCUAGGGGAGUGAACG
rnacentral:rRNA from 1 species